UACGGAGGGGGCAAGCGUUGUUCGGAGUUACUGGGCGUAAAGCGUGCGCAGGCGGUUUGUUAAGCGAGAUGUGAAAGCCCCGGGCUCAACCUGGGAACCGCAUUUCGAACUGGCAAACUAGAGUCUUGUAGAGGGGGGUAGAAUUCCAGGUGUAGCGGUGAAAUGCGUAGAGAUCUGGAGGAAUACCGGUGGCGAAGGCGGCCCCCUGGACAAAGACUGACGCUCAGGCACGAAAGCGUGGGGAGCAAACAGG
rnacentral:rRNA from 1 species